AGUGAUAUCUCUUCUACAGUUAAAUGUUUGCUGUGGUACAUUAAUAAUGAUAAAAUACAUAAUGAUUUGAAAAAAAAAUCAUAUUUUCCAUUUAUUUACUUUUUCAUUUUUUAAUGCUUCAAGCUGGAUUGCUCCAACAAAGCUUUGUUGUGUAAUGUACAUUGACCAUGAAGAGCUAGUUAUAAAAUGAUUUGGUCAAAUGGAUAACCUCAGUGCAUGCUGUUAUGUUUGUUAACAUAAAUUAGAACUGUGUAUUGAAUAUGUUCAGUGCAUUUUGCAAAUCUAAAGGUCCUACAGACUAAAUUGUGUGACUGCACAAGACUUCCAGAAGUGCACAGUGUCAUGGUCUGGAAGCAGAAAUGUUGGUCCAGUUUCCCAACAUUUUCUGUAUUUUACAAAUUCUAAUCCUAACCCAUCAAACAUAAAAAAUUUCAAGUUGCUAGGCAGCUGAUACAGGUUUGGACCCUCGUUCUGAAAAUGGAAUUGCUUCCAGAAAUGGUGA